CAGCGCCACGAGUGGUAACCACGUUUAUUGGGCCUAAAGCGUCCGUGGCCGGUUUGAUAAAUCUUUUGUGAAAUUGUACAGCUUAACUGUACAGCGUGCAAGAGACACUGUCAAACUUGAGACCGGGAGGAGUCAGAAGUAUUCCAGAGGGAGCGGUAAAAUGUUAUAAUCUCUGGAGGACUACCUGUGGCGAAGGCGUCUGACCAGAACGGAUCUGACGGUGAGGGACGAAAGCUAGGGGAGCGAACCGGAUUAGAUACCCGAGUAGUCC
rnacentral:rRNA from 1 species